CAAUAGCGUAUAUUAAAGUUGUUGCAGUUAAAAAGCUCGUAGUUGGAUUUCUGGUGGGAGCGAUCGGUCUGGCGCUUAGCGCGAGUACUUGCAUCGUCUCCGGCCAUCCUUGGGGAGAGUCUGUCUGGCAUUAAGUUGUCGGGCAGAGGAUCCUCACCGUUUACUGUGAAAAAAUUAGAGUGUUCAAAGCAGGCUUAUGCCGUUGAAUAUAUUAGCAUGGAAUAAUAAGAUAGGACUUUGGUACUAUUUUGUUGGUUUGCGCACCAAAGUAAUGAUUAAUAGGGACAGUUGGGGGUAUUCGUAUUCCGUUGUCAGAGGUGAAAUUCUUGGAUUUACGGAAGACGAACUACUGCGAAAGCAUUUACCAAGGAUGUUUUCAUUAA
rnacentral:rRNA from 1 species